UACGUAGGGUGCAGGCGUUAAUCGGAAUUACUGGGCGUAAAGCGUGCGCAGGCGGUUUCUUAAGUCAGAUGUGAAAGCCCCGGGCUUAACCUGGGAACUGCGUUUGAAACUGGGAGACUUGAGUGUGGCAGAGGGGGGUGGAAUUCCACGUGUAGCAGUGAAAUGCGUAGAUAUGUGGAGGAACACCGAUGGCGAAGACAGCCCCCUGGGUUAACACUGACGCUCAUGCACGAAAGCGUGGGGAGCAAACAGG
rnacentral:rRNA from 1 species